rnacentral:lncRNA from 1 species
AGACACUUUAAGGAGAAAAUGGCAGCAGCUUUGGGUAUCAGUAAGGACAGAUGGCAUUACCACCAUCAGCUGAAGCAGUUGUACAGAAAAGUGAGAACACUAUUUUGCAAAUAAGAGCAAAAUGCAGUUCAGAGUGUAUACACACACACACACACACACACACACACGAACAUCUGAAAGCCUCCAAACAGCUUAGGUACACCUUGAAGAACUGGACUUCUUGCAAUUUCUAUAGAAAUACUGUUGGGUCAUAACUUUCUUUCAUACCCAUUGUUAAUGAGAAUGGGAAUGCAUGGUCAUGUGAAUUUUCAUGUUUUAAAAAGGCUCACUGAUACGAAGAAUACUUUACACAAAUCACUUGUAAUCACAUAUGGCCAUGGGUUGAAUUGGCCCCCUCUAGAAGAUGUUGAAGAUGUUAAAGUCCUAACCCUUACUACCUGUGAACAUGAUUUUAUUUGGAAAUAGGAUCUUUUCAGAUGUUCAAGUUAAGAUGAGGACAUUAGUGCAGGCCCUAAUCCAAUAUAACCAUUUCCUUAUAAAAAGGGGAAACACAGACAUAGACAAAUAAAGAGAGAAUCCCACAUGAAGAUUGGAGAUAUGGUGCCAUAAGACAAGGUAUUUCCAAAAGCCAGGAGAGGAACCUGAAACAGAUCUUUCCCUAGUGCCUUCUGAGGAAGUCUAGUCCUGCCGGCAAAUUCAUCUUAGACUUCUACCUCUUGGAUUGUAAGAUAAUACAUUUCUGCUGUUUCAUCCACUCAGUAAUGUCGUACUUUGUUAUGAUAGCAACUCACGCAACAUGUAGUUGGGAGAAAAUGAGUACCUUGGUCCUGAAGGCGAGCUCUGGGAGAUACACCAAAACAUCAUGUGAAUCUUUUUUCUUAUCAAAGUAAAAACAUUAGCAAUGUACAUGUCAAAAAUCAUUGGUGAUAUAAUUAAGUUUAAGUGUUUACAAUAGAUUGAAAUAGCAAAUUACUCUUGGAAUAAAGUAAUAUGAUAUUUAUAAAGCCUAGUAGGCUAUGUUAUAUAUGCCACAAGUCCCAUGAGUUUUCAGUUCAUGUACAAAAGGAGAAAGCUACUUAAGACAGAAUAGUAUAAAUUGAAGGAAAGGUGCUCCAGGUGACUGCCAGUUGGGAGCAUUUUUUAAAGAGGGAAGGAGGGUGGAGCCCAGAAAGAGUGGAGUGAUCUGAGGAGUUGCCAGCACAGCACCAGGAAAACAGAAAAAGGAAGCAGAUUUUGUUUAUUUGGUGGUUUGUAGGCCCUAAUUCAUGAACUGGAAAUACUCGUUGCACUAAAAAUGAUAGACAAAUUUGACUAGAGGUGUUUAGAAGUCAGGGAGAAGGCUGUAAGAAUGGUUAGGGAAGUCUUUACAGAGUUGGAUUUAAGCUGAAUUUUGAAGGUCAGGCAUUUUUCCAGAGGCCAAAGAAACACGUCCAAGAAUUUUUGAGGGAAUUUGGAUGUUUUAUUUUGUAUUGUGAGACAGGGUCUCACUAAGUUGCCCAGACAGGUUUUG